CCUACGGGUGGCAGCAGUGAGGAAUAUUGGUCAAUGGACGAGAGUCUGAACCAGCCAAGUAGCGUGAAGGAUGACUGCCCUAUGGGUUGUAAACUUCUUUUAUAUGGGAAUAAAACGUUCCACGUGUGGGAUUUUGUAUGUACCAUAUGAAUAAGGAUCGGCUAACUCCGUGCCAGCAGCCGCGGUAAUACGGAGGAUCCGAGCGUUAUCCGGAUUUAUUGGGUUUAAAGGGAGCGUAGGUGGAUUGUUAAGUCAGUUGUGAAAGUUUGCGGCUCAACCGUAAAAUUGCAGUUGAUACUGGCAGUCUUGAGUACAGUAGAGGUGGGCGGAAUUCGUGGUGUAGCGGUGAAAUGCUUAGAUAUCACGAAGAACUCCGAUUGCGAAGGCAGUUCACUAGACUGCAACUGACACUGAGGCUCGAAAGUGUGGGUAUCAAACAGGAUUAGAUACCCGUGUAGUC
rnacentral:rRNA from 1 species